UUGAUGGCGACCGGCGCACGGGUGAGUAACACGUAUCCAACCUGCCGAUGACUCGGGGAUAGCCUUUCGAAAGAAAGAUUAAUACCCGAUGGCAUAGUUCUUCCGCAUGGUAGAACUAUUAAAGAAUUUCGGUCAUCGAUGGGGAUGCGUUCCAUUAGGUUGUUGGCGGGGUAACGGCCCACCAAGCCUUCGAUGGAUAGGGGUUCUGAGAGGAAGGUCCCCCACAUUGGAACUGAGACACGGUCCAAACUCCUACGGGAGGCAGCAUG
rnacentral:rRNA from 1 species